UGUAUCAUUGGCAGCACAUACACUGAAAACAUUGGAAUGAUACAGGGAAGGUUAGCAUGGCUCCUGCACAAGGAUGACAUGCAAAUUCAUGAAAGAUUCCAUAUUUAA